AAAAAAACAAAGCCAUUCGAUAGGUUUCUCAUUUUUUCCCCAAUCCCUCAUUCCUUCUCCGUCAGUCGGUCCCUCGGUCUAAGAAAUCAGAAGUAGAACUCAAUGAAUCAUUUUAUACUCCUCCGGUCCUUUUGCCUCUUACAUCCGUGAGAAGAAGCGACACAGCCGCGCAGCACAGUGAAUCGUGAUUCGUUAUUCGUGAUUCGUGAUUCGUGAUUCGUGAUUCGUGAUUCGUGAUUCGUGAUUAGUGAUACCGAUUACCGACGGUGGACUCUGCAAUUUAGAUUUUCGACCUGCUACUUCCCCUAGCUAAUCACUGGAAAUUGGUAUUAGCUAGCGAUACCGAUUACCGACUCUGCAAUUUAGAUUUUAGAGCUGCUACUUCGAGAUCGACAGCUGCGCAAUGGGAAAAAGGUAUUUCAAAGUUGAGCUACUUAAGCCUAAACAGAAUGGUGAGACCUAAGGAUAAAUUUUGGGAAUAUGUAGAGCAACGUGGUUUAGGCCGUUUCAAAUGUAACUAUUGUGGACGUAAUUAUUCUGGGAGUGUUUCAUGAGUGAAGGCUCAUUUAGCUUGUCAAGUUGGACAUGAUGUUCAAAUUUGCACCCAAGUUCCUGAGCACAUUCAAGCUGAUGCCUUGGUAGAAUUUAAUUUGAGUAGAUCUGCUAAGAAGAAGAGUGAUACUUUUGAAAGUGGAAUGGGUUCCACAAGAUGCACAACUUCCAUGCCUCAGGCUAAGAGUACACAUCAACUCACAAUGAUAGAGAUGGCUACUAAGCAAGAUAAGAAGUCAUUGGACAUGUUGGUAACUGAUUUUUUUGUCAGUAAUAACAUUUCCUUCAAUGUUAUUCCGAUAAAUUCUUUUAUUGAGAUGAUAAGGGGUGCAUGUGCAUAUGGUACAAGUUAUGUUGUAUCUAAUUAUAGCAAUUUUCGGGCCAGUUUGAUUCCUGGAAAAAAAAAAGCAGAAGUCAUGCAAUAUGUCAGCGACAUAAAGGCUGGAGUAUCACAGGUUGCACAAUUAUGUCCGAUUCUUGGAUUGACAUAAAGAAGAGGUCGUGGGUCAAUGUGAUUGCUUACUCUCCUGGGGGUGCUAUGUAUAUAUUGAGUGUGGUAUAAAUAGAUUAACUUCAAAAUUUCUUUUCAAUGAAAUUUUUUAUGUCAUUGAAACAGUUGGACCAAACAAUGUUGUGCAGUUUAUUUCAGAUAAUGGUUCUAACUUUUAUUCUUAUGGUGAUAUGUUGGCUGGAAAA